UGCGGGAAGUUAAUGGAGCUGCAUUCCAUCCUUUCAAGUGGGGCUUGGAGGGGUUGCAGGAGCUUCGUUAUGAUGUGAUGUGAAGAGAAGCAGCAGCAGAAUGGUGGUCUUCACUUGCAAGCGUGGUGUGAGAAUCUGCUGGAUGACCUCCCUACCACCUUCAGAACAUAGUUGGUGGAAGGAUGGAAGAGAAAAAUGCCCUUUGCCUCAGUGGAAUCCCAGGUAAAGGGAAGCCACAUUUCUGAUGUUAUCUGUUGCACUGCAAAGUGUUUUGUAUUUCCCUCAAGGCUCUCAGCCUGCUUCGAGCGGGUUCAGGCUCCUGCUUACAGUGUGAUUGCCACCCUCGGCUUUAGCACAGGAGAAAAAUUAAACGCCUGCAGUUCU